rnacentral:SRP_RNA from 1 species
GCCGGGCAUGGUGGCUCAUGCCUGUAAUCCUAGCAGUUUGGGAGGCUGAGGUGGGCGGAUCACCUGAGGUCAGGAGUUCGAGACCAGCCUGACCAACAUGGAGAAACCCCAUCUCUA